rnacentral:misc_RNA from 1 species
UAGAAUAAGCUUGAACAGGUUGCUGCUGGCCCUUUGGGCAUGUGCACACCUGUGUCAUCUUUACUUCUCCAACUGUGCACACAUUGUAGGCCCUAGCGCCUUCUUAUUCAUACAUGAUAAUGUUUCAGAAUGUUUGUUGAAUACAUAUAUAUACAA